rnacentral:tRNA from 1 species
AGUCUUAUAGGUUAAAUAAACUAUUAAAUUGCAAAUUUAAAGAUAAAAAUUUUUAAGACUU